rnacentral:rRNA from 1 species
GACGAACGCUGGCGGCGUGCUUAACACAUGCAAGUCGAACGGAAAGGCCCUGCUUUUGUGGGGUGCUCGAGUGGCGAACGGGUGAGCAACACGUGCGUAACCUGCCCUUGACUUUGGGAUAACUUCAGGAAACUGGGGCUAAUACCGGAUAGGAGCUCCUGCUGCAUGGUGGGGGUUGGAAAGUGUCGGCGGUUGGGGAUGGACUCGCGGCUUAUCAGCUUGUUGGUGGGGUAGUGGCUUACCAAGGCUUUGAGGGGUAGCCGGCCUGAGAGGGUGACCGGCCACAUUGGGACUGAGAUACGGCCCAGACUCCUACGGGAGGCAGCAGUGGGGAAUAUUGCACAAUGGGCGGAAGCCUGAUGCAGCAACGCCGCGUGCGGGAUGACGGCCUUCGGGUUGUAAACCGCUUUCGCCUGUGACGAAGCGUGAGUGACGGUAAUGGGUAAAGAAGCACCGGCUAACUACGUG